UGGGGAAUUUUGGACAAUGGGCGAAAGCCUGAUCCCAGCAAUGCCGCGUGUGUGAAGAAGGCCUUCGGGUUGUAAAGCACUUUUGUCCGGAAAGAAAUCCUUGGCUCUAAUACAGUCGGGGGAUGACGGUACCGGAAGAAUAAGCACCGGCUAACUACGUGCCAGCAGCCGCGGUAAUACGUAGGGUGCAAGCGUUAAUCGGAAUUACUGGGCGUAAAGCGUGCGCAGGCGGUUUGCUAAGACCGAUGUGAAAUCCCCGGGCUCAACCUGGGAACUGAUUGGUGACUGGCAGGCUAGAGUAUGGCAGAGGGGGGUAGAAUUCCACGUGUAGCAGUGAAAUGCGUAGAGAUGUGGAGGAAUACCGAUGGCGAAGGCAGCCCCCUGGGCCAAUACUGACGCUCAUGCACGAAAAGCGUGGGGGAGCAAAACAGGAUUAGAUACCCUGGUAGUCCACGCCCUAAAACGAUGUCAACUAGUUGUUGGGGAUUCAUUUCCUUAGUAACGUACUAACGGUGAAGUUGACCGCCUGGGGAGUACGGUCGCAAGAUUAAAACUCAAAGGAAUUGACGGGGUCAUAGCUG
rnacentral:rRNA from 1 species